GGAGGUGUCGCCUAGUGGCCUAUGGCGCCCGCCUGCUAAGCGGGUUGAGGGUUGUGCCCUCUCGCGGGUUCAAAUCCCGCCACCUCCG
rnacentral:tRNA from 1 species